CCAAGACAUGCCUGCUUCCCGUUCACCUUCCACUGUGAUUGUGAGUUUCCUGAGGCCUCCCCAGCCGUACUUCCUGGACAGCCUGCAGAACCACAACAAACCAAACAAUAGGGCAAGCUCUGGUUUGUAGUGUCUGCUGAUUCCUGUGGUGUGAAUACUCCCACCAUGGCCAAUAUCAAGCUGCCAACAUGGUGUCACUAUAUGCAGACUUGGGAAGAGAUGCCUGCUAGCACAUCAUGGUACAGAAUCUCCACUCUGCGGAUAUAAUAGGUGCAAACCCCAAGAGCAGAGCAGAGCAAACAGC
rnacentral:lncRNA from 1 species